AUAACCCCUACCGUAGAACUAAAUGCACUGUGCAUGAAACUUGGAAAAAAACCAAUAUAUAAGCCUGUUGACCCUUACUCUCUGAUGCAAUCCACCUAUAACUACAACAUGAGAGGAGGUGUUUAUCCCCUGAGGUACUUUUACCCAUUUCCAGUUCCACCUUUACUUUAUCAAGUGGAGCUUUCUGUGGGAGGACAGCAAUUUAAUGGGAAAGGAAAGACAAGACAGGCUGCAAAACAUACUGCUGCUGCCACAGCGUUGAGGAUCCUGCAGAAUGAGCCCCCACCAGAGAGGAUGGAGGUGAAUGGAAGAGAAUCAGAAGAAAAUCUCAAUAAAUCUGAAAUAAGUCAAGUGUUUGAGAUUGCACUUAAAUGAAACUUGCCUGUGAAUUUUGAGGUGGCCUGGGAGAGUGGCGCACCCCACAUGAAGGAUUCUGUGACCAAGGUUUCGGUUGGGGAGUUUGUGGAGGAAGGUGAAGGGAAAAGCAAGAAGAUUUCAAAGAAAAAUGCCGCCAUAACUGUCCUUGAGGAGCUGAAGAAGUUACCGCCCCUGCCUGCAGUUGAACAAGUAAAGCCUAGAAUCAAAAAGAAAACAAAACCUAUAGUAAAGCCACAGACAACCCCAGAAUAUGGCCAGGGGAUCUAUCGGAUUAGCAGACUGGCCCAGAUCCAGCAGGCAAAAAAGGAGAGGGAGCUAGAGUACAUGCUUCUCACAGAGCUAGGCCUUCCAUGCCACAGGGAGUUCGCAAUGCAGGUAAAGGUUGGAAACCACACUGCAGAAGGAACAGGCACCAACAAGAAGGUGGCCAGGUGCAAUGCAGCUGAGAACAUGCUGGAGGUCCUUGGUCUCAAAGUCCCGCAGGCACAGCCCACCAAGCCAGCACUCAAGUCAGAGGAGAAGACACCCAUAAAGAAACGAGGGGAUGGAAGAAAAGUAACCUUUUUUGAACCUGGCUCUGGGGAUGAAAAUGGGACUAGUAAUAAAGAGGAUGAGUUCAAGAUGCCUUAUCUAAGUCAUCAGCAGCUGCCUGCUGGAAUUCUUCCCAUGGUGCCCGAGGUCACUCAGGCUGUAGGAGUUAGUCAAGGACAUCACACCAAAGAUUUCACCAGGGCAGCUCCCAAUCCUUCCAGGGCCACAGUAACUGCCAUGAUAGCCCGAGAGUUGUUGUAUGGGGGCACCUCGCCCAUAGCCAAGACCAUUUUAAAGAAUAACAUCUCUUCAGGCCAUGUACCCCAUGGACCUCACAAGACCCUCUGAGGAACUGGACUAUCUUUUCAGAGUUUAGGGAUUUCAGGUUGACUACAAAGACUUCCCCCAAAACAACAAGAAUGAAUUUGUAUCUCUUAUCAAUUGCUCCUCUCAGCCGUCUCUGAUCAGCCAUGGUAUUGGCAAGGAUGUGGAGUCCUGCCAUGAUAUGGCUGCACUGAACAUCUUAAAGUUGUUGUCUGAGUUGGACCAACAAAGUACAGAGAUGCCUACAAUGGACCAAUGUCUGUGUGUGGGAGGUGCUGAACCUUUUCUGGCCAUGAACCAUUAUAAAAUCCCAACAUAUAUACUGAAAAUACUGAAACUGGUUUGAAAAUUUGGAAUUUCUGAUACCUCCAGUGGGCCCAGAGACACGAUGGGUAAAGGAUGUGGGCAGCAGCAGGGAAGACAACAGAGCCAUGAGGAGAUGGCUGUGGCUGGGCUGGACUGUGCUGUGCUGGGGUUUGUUGUGACGGCCACUCGGUGACCUGGCAGUCCCUAUGCAAUAGCAGCUGCCUGUGGGGAAGAAGGGCUCGUAGCUGCUGACUCUCCCAGGACACCACCAGAUCCAUGCCCUGGGCACCUCCAUGGUUGAUCUUUGUUUUCCCCUGUGUGAUAGAACAGAGAGCACGACCCCUUCUCAAGCUGGCUUACUCAGAUACAUUGAGACACACCCUGGACAGCCACACCAGAGAGAGGCUUUUGACCAGCCCCAGAGCGAAAAGCACCAUAGAAAAUCAGAUGCUUCCUACUCAGCAUGACCUAACUUUUCUAGCGUGCUAUGGCCCCACUACCCACACCAUCACCAUUGCUUUCUCUUCCAACAGUGAUCUGUAUUCUUAGUUUCAUUAUUUUUUUUGAUUGAUAUGACACUAUAUAAAAUUUUCAUUUGAGAGUUUCUCAAUUGUAUCUAGUUAUAUAGCACAGUUUGGAAA